rnacentral:pre_miRNA from 1 species
UGAUAUGUUUGAUAUAGGGGUUGGGAUUUGUGUACCAACCGUAUGUUAAACAUGUCUCA